rnacentral:tRNA from 1 species
GGAUGGAUGUCUGAGUGGUUUAAAGUACUAGUCUUGAAAACUAGCGCAUUUAUCAAUGCCAUGGGUUCAAAUCCCAUUCCAUCCU